rnacentral:rRNA from 1 species
UACGGAGGGGGCUAGCGUUGUUCGGAAUUACUGGGCUUAAAGCGCACGUAGGCGGCUUUGUAAGUUAGAGGUGAAAGCCCAGGGCUUAACCCUGGAAUUGCCUUUAAGACUGCAUCGCUAGAAUCGUGGAGAGGUAAGUGGAAUUCCGAGUGUAGAGGUGAAAUUCGUAGAUAUUCGGAAGAACACCAGUGGCGAAGGCGACUUACUGGACACGUAUUGACGCUGAGGUGCGAAAGCGUGGGGAGCAAACAGG